GCCAGUGUGGUGUAGUGGUUUGAGCCUUGGACUGCUACUCUGGAGACCAGGGUUCGAAUCCCUACUGGAC